rnacentral:rRNA from 1 species
AUUGAACGCUGGCGGCAGGCCCAACACAUGCAAGUCGAGCGGAUGAAGGGAGCUUGCUCCUGGAUUCAGCGGCGGACGGGUGAGUAAUGCCUAGGAAUCUGCCUGGUAGUGGGGGAUAACGUCCGGAAACGGGCGCUAAUACCGCAUACGUCCUGAGGGAGAAAGUGGGGGAUCUUCGGACCUCACGCUAUCAGAUGAGCCUAGGUCGGAUUAGCUAGUUGGUGGGGUAAAGGCCUACCAAGGCGACGAUCCGUAACUGGUCUGAGAGGAUGAUCAGUCACACUGGAACUGAGACACGGUCCAGACUCCUACGGGAGGCAGCAGUGGGGAAUAUUGGACAAUGGGCGAAAGCCUGAGCCAGCCAUGCCGCGUGUGUGAAGAAGGUCUUCGGAUUGUAAAGAACUUUAAGUUGGGAGGAAGGGCAGUAAGUUAAUACCUUGCUGUUUUGACGUUACCAACAGAAUAAGCACCGGCUAACUUCAUG